UGGUGGGUAGUUUGACUGGGGCGGUCUCCUCCUAAAGAGUAACGGAGGAGCACGAAGGUUGGCUAAUCCUGGUCGGACAUCAGGAGGUUAGUGCAAUGGCAUAAGCCAGCUUGACUGCGAGCGUGACGGCGCGAGCAGGUGCGAAAGCAGGUCAUAGUGAUCCGGUGGUUCUGAAUGGAAGGGCCAUCGCUCAACGGAUAAAAGGUACUCCGGGGAUAACAGGCUGAUACCGCCCAAGAGUUCAUAUCGACGGCGGUGUUUGGCACCUCGAUGUCGGCUCAUCACAUCCUGGGGCUGAAGUAGGUCCCAAGGGUAUGGCUGUUCGCCAUUUAAAGUGGUACGCGAGCUGGGUUUAGAACGUCGUGAGACAGUUCGGUCCCUAUCUGCCGUGGGCGCUGGAGAACUGAGGGGGGCUGCUCCUAGUACGAGAGGACCGGAGUGGACGCAUCACUGGUGUUCGGGUUGUCAUGCCAAUGGCACUGCCCGGUAGCUAAAUGCGGAAGAGAUAAGUGCUGAAAGCAUCUAAGCACGAAACUUGCCCCGAGAUGAGUUCUCCCUGACCCUUUAAGGGUCCUGAAGGAACGUUGAAGACGACGACGUUGAUAGGCCGGGUGUGUA
rnacentral:rRNA from 1 species